rnacentral:tRNA from 1 species
GGGGGUAUAGCUCAGAUGGGAGAGCGCUUGCAUGGCAUGCAAGAGGUCAGCGGUUCGAACCCGCUUAUCUCCACCA